rnacentral:rRNA from 1 species
AUUGAACGCUGGCGGCAGGCCUAACACAUGCAAGUCGAGCGGAUGAAGGGAGCUUGCUCCUGGAUUCAGCGGCGGACGGGUGAGUAAUGCCUAGGAAUCUGCCUGGUAGUGGGGGAUAACGUCCGGAAACGGGCGCUAAUACCGCAUACGUCCUGAGGGAGAAAGUGGGGGAUCUUCGGACCUCACGCUAUCAGAUGAGCCUAGGUCGGAUUAGCUAGUUGGUGGGGUAAAGGCCUACCAAGGCGACGAUCCGUAACUGGUCUGAGAGGAUGAUCAGUCACACUGGAGCUGAGACACGGUCCAGGCUCCUACGGGAGGCAGCAGUGGGGAAUAUUGGACAAUGGGCGAAAGCCUGAUCCAGCCAUGCCGCGUGUGUGAAGAAGGUCUUCGGAGUGUAAAGCACUUUAAGUUGGGAGGAAGGGCAGUAAGUUAAUACCUUGCUGUUGUGACGGUACCAACAGAAUAAGCACCGGCUAACUUCGUG